GAAUUCGCCCUUAGAGUUUGAUCCUGGCUCAGGAUGAACGCUAGCGGCAGGCCUAACACAUGCAAGUCGAGCGGUAGAGAGAAGCUUGCUUCUCUUGAGAGCGGCGGACGGGUGAGUAAUGCCUAGGAAUCUGCCUGGUAGUGGGGGAUAACGUUCGGAAACGGACGCUAAUACCGCAUACGUCCUACGGGAGAAAGCAGGGGACCUUCGGGCCUUGCGCUAUCAGAUGAGCCUAGGUCGGAUUAGCUAGUUGGUGAGGUAAUGGCUCACCAAGGCGACGAUCCGUAACUGGUCUGAGAGGAUGAUCAGUCACACUGGAACUGAGACACGGUCCAGACUCCUACAGGAGGCAGCAGUGGGGAAUAUUGGACAAUGGGCGAAAGCCUGAUCCAGCCAUGCCGCGUGUGUGAAGAAGGUCUUCGGAUUGUAAAGCACUUUAAGUUGGGAGGAAGGGCAGUUGCCUAAUACGUAACUGUUUUGACGUUACCGACAGAAUAAGCACCGGCUAACUCUGUGCCAGCAGCCGCGGUAAUACAGAGGGUGCAAGCGUUAAUCGGAAUUACUGGGCGUAAAGCGCGCGUAGGUGGUUUGUUAAGUUGGAUGUGAAAUCCCCGGGCUCAACCUGGGAACUGCAUUCAAAACUGACUGACUAGAGUAUGGUAGAGGGUGGUGGAAUUUCCUGUGUAGCGGUGAAAUGCGUAGAUAUAGGAAGGAACACCAGUGGCGAAGGCGACCACCUGGACUGAUACUGACACUGAGGUG
rnacentral:rRNA from 1 species